rnacentral:rRNA from 1 species
UCCGUAGGCGGUGCGGCAAGUCGGAAGUGAAAUCUCCGGGCUUAACCCAGAGGCUGCUUCCGAAACUGCCGUGCUAGAGUGCGAGAGAGGCGAGUGGAAUUGCGGGUGUAGCGGUGAAAUGCGUAGAUAUCCGCAGGAACAUCCGAGGCGAAAGCGGCUCGCUGGAUCGCAACUGACGCUGAGGGACGAAAGCUAGGGGAGCAAACAGGAUUAGAUACCCUGGUAGUCCUAGCCCUAAACCAUCAGGACUUGGGGUUUGCCCUGUACGGGGCAAGUCCCGUAGCUAACGCGUUAAGUCCUGCGCCUGGGGAGUACGGUCGCAAGGCUGAA